UCCAGACUCCUACGGGAGGCAGCAGUGGGGGAUAUUGCACAAUGGGGGGAACCCUGAUGCAGCGACGCCGCGUGGGUGAAGAAGCGCCUCGGCGCGUAAAGCCCUGUCAGCAGGGAAGAAAAUGACGGUACCUGAAGAAGAAGCCCCGGCUAACUACGUGCCAGCAGCCGCGGUAAUACGUAGGGGGCAAGCGUUAUCCGGAUUUACUGGGUGUAAAGGGAGCGUAGACGGCAUGGCAAGCCAGAUGUGAAAUACCGGGGCUCGACCCCGGGACUGCAUUUGGAACUGUUAAGCUGGAGUGUCGGAGAGGCAGGCGGAAUUCCUAGUGUAGCGGUGAAAUGCGUAGAUAUUAGGAGGAACACCAGUGGCGAAGGCGGCCUGCUGGACGAUAACUGACGUUGAGGCUCGAAAGCGUGGGGAGCAAACAGGAUUAGAUACCCUUGUA
rnacentral:rRNA from 1 species